CGCCGAGUGAGUGGCAGUGAGGUCAUCGCCCUCCGACUCCCGGCACCCGACCCUCCACGCCAGGGGCGGGGCCUGUGGCCGCGCUCGACUCCCUACGCCCCGCCUCCACGGACGCCUCCUCGCGGACCGUCCGGCACGUCACGUGACGGGUCGGCGUCGCUGGCGGUUGCUGUCAGCUGAUUCCCCGGGUUGGUGGCUGGGGCAGCCGCGGCGAUGGACUUUCUUCUGGGGAAUCCGUUCAGCUCUCCGGUGGGACAGCGCAUCGAGAAGGCGACAGAUGGCUCCCUGCAGAGCGAGGACUGGGCCCUCAACAUGGAGAUCUGCGACAUCAUCAACGAGACGGAGGAAGGUCCCAAAGAUGCCUUCCGAGCGGUGAAGAAGAGAAUCGUAGGGAAUAAGAACUUCCACGAGGUGAUGCUGGCUCUCACGGUCUUAGAAACCUGCGUCAAGAACUGCGGGCACCGCUUCCACCUGCUGGUGGCCAGCCAGGACUUUGUGGAGGGCGUGCUGGUGAAGACCAUCCUACCCAAGAACAACCCGCCCACCGUCGUGCACGACAAAGUGCUCCACCUCAUCCAGUCCUGGGCUGACGCGUUCCGCAGCUCGCCCGACUUGACAGGGGUGGUGGCCGUCUACGAGGACCUGCGGAGGAAGGGCCUGGAAUUCCCGAUGACCGACUUGGACAUGCUGUCACCCAUCCACACGCCCCAGAGGACCGUGUUCAGCUCGGAGGCACCAUCAGGGCCGAAUUCUGUGGGCACGGACGCCAGCCAUGGAGGAGACUCCACCCCGCACACCACCCCUCUGCCCGUGCCGGCCACAGUCCCCAGUGACACACCCAUCACACCCACCCCUGAGCAGAUCGCAAAGCUGCGCAGCGAGCUCGAGAUGGUGAGUGGGAACGUGAGGGUGAUGUCGGAGAUGCUGACGGAGCUGGUGCCCACCCAGGCAGAGCCUGCAGACCUGGAGCUGCUACAGGAGCUCAACCGGACGUGCCGAGCCAUGCAGCAGCGGGUCCUAGAACUCAUCCCCCGAAUCGCCAAUGAACAGCUCACCGAGGAGCUGCUCAUCGUCAAUGACAACCUCAACAACGUGUUCCUGCGCCACGAACGGUUUGAACGGUUCCGAACAGGCCAGACCGGCAAGGCCCCACAAGAGGUCGAGGCGGCAGCUGACCUGAUCGACAUGGGCCCUGACCAGGUGGCCACCGGCAGCCUCUCAUCCCAGCUGGCGGGAAUGAACUUGGGCUCCAGCAGCGUGAGGGCUGGCCUGCAGUCUCUGGAGGCCUCUGGCCAACUGGAAGGCGAGUUUGACAUGUUUGCGCUGACCCGGGGCAGUUCUCUGGCUGACCAACGAAAAGAGGUGAAAUACGAAGCCCCCCAAGCAGCAGAUAGUCUGGCGGGAGCCCUGGAUGCCCGACAGCAGAACACUGGAUCGAUGGGAGGCAGCAGUGAGAAGAGCCUCAGUGCCUGGAUGAGGAGACAAGGCAUGAUCCCCGUCACCCAGGCCCGCCUCAUGGAGGACAUCGAGCAGUGGCUGUCCACAGACGUGGUAAGCCGGGGCCCACCCAGCCCAGGAACAGAGGCUCAGGUGCAUUUCUCACCCAGCUGACCGUGGGCUCCUGUUCGUCUCACGAGGACGUGACUGUCACAGGGGCAGGGUGAACAGCUGGUGGGGAGGGGAGGGAGCAUCAGUGUGGGACACCUCCCACCACCCCUCUGGUGGGCACUCCCUUCAAGAGGAGGGCCUGGGCCCCAUACGCCUCACAGCUGCUGGAGCGGACCCUUUCUGAGCGUGCCGCCACUGUGGGUCCCUGGGAGUCUUGGCCGCCUGGAGGGAAGGCAGACCAGGCUGAGGGUUACCGUGAGCACGCUGCACCCUGCGCCUGCACCAGCUCAGGGAGCCCUCCAGCACCUGUCCGAGAGAAACCACCGGCAGCCCCAUCUUACGGAUCAGGAGGCUGAUGAGCAGCCAUGAUGGGUGCCGAGCCCAGGAGGAAGCAGGGGCUCAGGCCGUCUGCAGAGCCCUACGGCCCCCAGGGAUCAGAAGCGGUGACCAGCCUCAGCCCUCCCGUCCAGGGCUCCUUCCCCUGCAUCUGCCACCUCACCUUUGGGCACCAAAGACCAAGGGCCUGAGCGCUCCCAGGCCCAGAGGCUGCCUUUUGUCGGCGGCCAGGACCGUUGUUUCUGCCCGAGGUCAGGCAAGGGUCCCUGUCAGGUGGUGAGCAGAAGGCACCCCCACCCCCAACUUUAGCCUGCGUGGUCUCCAUUUCUGGGUCCCUUCCCACCACAAGGCCAAGUCUGUCCACUCUCUACACACCAGAAGGAAAGGAACUGGUGUUCCACACCCUGGGCUUGGUGUUCUGUGUGAUAUUCCAUUUUAGCUUCCCGACAACCAAUUUUGCCACGCAGGAAAUUGAGGCACAGAGCAGUCAGGCAAAACCUAAGGCUGCAGCUCAGGAAGGGGUGGGGUUGAGGUUCAGGUUCUGGGCCCAGCCAGAACCUGAGCCUGGCCCCCUGGGGUUCAGCAGCCUGUGCCUGCCUCGCAGGACCACCCUGGCUAACCUCUGCCUCCUGCUGCUUUCUCAGGGGAAUGACGCGGAGGAGCCCAAGGGCGUCACCAGCGAAGAAUUUGACAAGUUCCUGGAAGAACGGGCCAAAGCAGCCGAUCGGUUGCCCAACCUUUCCAGCCCCUCGACUGAGGGGCCCCCAGGGCCCCCGGGGCCCCCUCGUGGCACUGCCCCUCGAAAGAAGACCCAGGAGAAAGAUGAGGACACGCUGUUUGCCUUAUGAGCGUGGGGCCUGGCGCCUGCAGCUCGAGCCCCUGCUGCUCCCGCACCCUUUGGCUGGGGCUUCUUUCCCUCCUUCGGUGUUAAGGCUGCUUUGAGGUUGGCUUGUUACCCCCUUCUCUCCUCCUCGAGUAUGGGCUGACCCAGCUGUGGCUGGGCCACGCUGCCUGGGCUGUGGAGAGGCAGCUGGAUGAACUGGAGUAACGGGUCAGUUCCACGUUGGGAUCUCGGCCGACUCCUGCCUCCUUCCCUACCCCAACCGACCACUACUUUGCUGAGAAGCAGGAAGUCUUGUGACAGGCUGGCUGCUUGGUCGCCCUGGUGUGACUCCUUGCCCUGGGUGGUCCCCUCCCUGGACCCAUCCCCAGAGGCGCCCACACUGUCAGCCGAGGCUUUGACUGGGGGCUAGAGACAGCAGAAGCUUCUGUCACAGCCCCUGGGCCAUUCCUCAGCACCUGCCUGGUGGAGUCCAAAGGCUCUGUCUGGCUAGCUGUUGAGGGGGCUGCCAAGCUGCACGCUAUCCAGGUACGAAGCUGCAUGUGGUGGGGGUGAGACCUCCACAGGCCGCAAAGGGGAGGCGUCCGGGGCUGCCUGGAGCACCUGUGACCCCCACGACCUCCACUGCCUUCUCCUGCAACUUCCCUCUGUUCCUCCCAGGCAGGGCUCCACCGGGCACUGGGCCCACCCACCUGUUGAUUGAUCCCCUUGUACUGGGAGAGGUGCCUUUUGUAUCCCCAAUUAAAGGUAGAAAAGCA